rnacentral:lncRNA from 1 species
AAUUAGAAUAAGUACUUUUUGAUAACUUUGUCUCAUGCGGAGCAAAGCCCUCCUGAGUCAAGCUUAGUCCCUUUGGAGUAUAUUUAAAGGGAAGUGCGGAUCUGGAGUGUUUUGUUUAGACGAGGUAUGCAUCAAGUUGAGUUCUAUCGACUGGAAUGAAUGCAUUGACAGUUCGGUCUGAUCCGUCUUAUUCGUAUAUCUUAUUAUGGGACCGAGUAUGCGGGUAGAGGUCUUACGAGGUACCCACUAUACUCGGAGUACCCUCCCAAAAGGAAAAAGAUGUGUUUGUUAGGUUCGGUUCUUCUUAGUUGGAUUGGGCGG